AACGAACGCUGGCGGCAGGCCUAACACAUGCAAGUCGAGCGCCCCGCAAGGGGAGCGGCGGACGGGUUAGUAACGCGUGGGAACGUACCCUUUUCUACCGAAUAGCCUCGGGAAACUGAGAGUAAUACCGUAUAAGCACUUUGGGGGAAAGAUUUAUCGGAAAAGGAUCGGCCCGCGUCUGAUUAGGUAGUUGGUGGGGUAAUGGCCUACCAAGCCUACGAUCAGUAGCUGGUUUGAGAGGAUGAUCAGCAACACUGGGACUGAGACACGGCCCAGACUCCUACGGGAGGCAGCAGUGGGGAAUCUUAGACAAUGGGCGCAAGCCUGAUCUAGCCAUGCCGCGUGAGUGACGAAGGCCUUAGGGUCGUAAAGCUCUUUCGCUGGGGAGGAUAAUGACUGUACCCAGUAAAGAAACCCCGGCUAACUCCGUGCCAGCAGCCGCGGUAA
rnacentral:rRNA from 1 species